UUUGCAGGUCGUACGGGGAUAAACUAUAUAAGGAAAACUUGGCGGUCGAGACGUUCUUGGUUGCUAUAACCAGCUUAUUGCUUGGAAGGGAAGAUCUAUUUCAAGGAUCGAUUCAAUAUUGGAGUACACCGAGGCUAAGGCUAAGCUUAAAAAAUAUUUUAUUUUCUUAAAUUUAUUUUUGUAUUUUCGAACCUGUUUUUAUUUUUCGUAUUUUCUUAUUUUAUUAUUUUAAUCAAUUUAAACCCCCAUUUUUAUUUUUAUUUUUAGAAUUUAUACGUAUAGGUCGGGGGUACCAUUGUGACGCAAUAGCGAUUCUGGUCACGAA
rnacentral:lncRNA from 1 species